rnacentral:tRNA from 1 species
CGCGGGGUAGUGUACGGUGCACAAAGGGCUCAUAAUCCUUUAGGCUGGGUUCGAUCCCCAGCCCCGCAA